rnacentral:rRNA from 1 species
GCGUAAUAGCUCACUGGUCGAGUCGGCCUGCGCGGAAGAUGUAACGGGGCUAAACCAUGCACCGAAGCUGCGGCAGCGACACUAUGUGUUGUUGGGUAGGGGAGCGUUCUGUAAGCCUGCGAAGGUGUGCUGUGAGGCAUGCUGGAGGUAUCAGAAGUGCGAAUGCUGACAUAAGUAACGAUAAAGCGGGUGAAAAGCCCGCUCGCCGGAAGACCAAGGGUUCCUGUCCAACGUUAAUCGGGGCAGGGUGAGUCGACCCCUAAGGCGAGGCCGAAAGGCGUAGUCGAUGGGAAACAGGUUAAUAUUCCUGUACUUGGUGUUACUGCGAAGGGGGGACGGAGAAGGCUAUGUUAGCCGGGCGACGGUUGUCCCGGUUUAAGCAUGUAGGCUGGUUAUCCAGGCAAAUCCGGAUAAUCAAGGCUGAGGUGUGAUGACGAGGCACUACGGUGCUGAAGUAACAAAUGCCCUGCUUCCAGGAAAAGCCUCUAAGCAUCAGGUAACAUUAAAUCGUACCCCAAACCGACACAGGUGGUCAGGUAGAGAAUACCAAGGCGCUUGAGAGAACUCGGGUGAAGGAACUAGGCAAAAUGGUGCCGUAACUUCGGGAGAAGGCACGCUGGUGUGUAGGUGA